ensembl:lncRNA
AUAUUAAAUAAACGCCAAAUAGCAGGUGGUUACUCUUAAAAGUCGAUGCCUCAUUGAGUCCUGAAAUACUGAGAACUCUACUGUCUCUUCCAUCGACACAGUAAUGAAAGCUCCCAGGGCAUAAUAUGGAUAUUAAGUUCAGAUUGGGGGAGGGGGAGCAGAGCCGGUGGAGGUCCGUCCCGCUGCACCUCCGGGCUCCCCCAAGAUCUGCAAUCUGGAGGGCAGCGCUGGGGCGCCUGGGCUACUGCCUGUCAUCGUGAGGGGCGCAGGGAAAUUCCGAGUCCUCCUGGGGCUUGGUCCCGUCCGGGAGCAGGGUGGCCCGCACCUUCCUCUUCUCUUUGAACCUGCCCGAGCGGGAAAUCUUCAGGUUGCGGCGACUGCCGCCUGAUUUCUCCUCGCCCAAGCGAUCGAGCCUGGGGUCGGCGGUGCCCGGGAGGCCGGGGUGCUGGCAGUCCGGGCUGGGCGGAGAGGGCUCCGUGGAGCCGGGCUGCGGGCCUGCAGGGGAUGGAGGCUGCGCCCCUGCGCUCCCGCCCCCACUACUGUCCUUGCCUUUCUUCCAGCUGCUAUUGGCGAAUGAUUUCCACCAGGAACCAGAACUGCUGCUGCUGCCGCCGCCGGAGCCGCCGCUGUAAGCCAUAGCCGCUGCCCCGCUUCUGGGUCCGGGGCGGCCAAGGCCAGGCUGGCUGGAUGAGAGACAUCGUACUACUGGCUGGGGCGUUCUUCUCCAGCUGGCCGGCACCUGUUACACUGCCAGUCCCUGGGAGGGCCACCUGCAGCUAAAAUUGCCAGAAGGCAGGUUCUCUCCCACUUCAAAGCCAAGCCACGACCGGAGACCACAAGGCCAGGUUCUUCCAUCUUCUGUUCUCCGAAAACUGGCAGAAAGGCCUCAGCUGCCGGUCCGGGAAGUGGCUGCUCUUCACACACUUAUCUUGGGGGCGUGUAAGGCCAGGCCUGCGAGCAAAAGUCUUCUGACAACUAAGGGGCUGUUUGAAAAGGCGGUGGAGCAGCCAGACAGCCUGGGACUGCAGAGUAAAAGCCCUCUCGCUCCCUUCCCGGCCCCCACCCUAAUCCCCCACCUUCGGCUGCUUCUCACCUACUCUGGCUUCCUCUUCAGGGGAGAGCAGAGCGGAGAAGAAAUGGGCGCUCUGCUGGGCUUUCGUCCGGAGGCGGAGCUGGGGAUAGCUGAGGAGGGCGGGUGGCUUCCCAGCGCUUACUCCACUAGGGCAGAAGAAGGUAGGGGGCAGUAACCUCUCUCCGGCAGGUGUCCUGGCGCCAGGGGAUGCUCCGUAGAAGGCGCAGGGUUUCGGGAUCCCAUCCCCUUGCAGUGGGUGUCACCGGCCGCCAGCUCCCCCGAAGGGAGGGAGAUGGAUGGGUGGGGCAGAUGCAGACUGUUUUCCCGCUAGCUUAAGUAUCUACAGCUCAGCUGGCUGGUGCGCUACCUCCCCUUGGGGUCCCUCCGAGGCUCCUGUAUGACCUUGGCCCCAGGGAGCUUGGCGCGCGCGAGCCGCUAACCCCGCCAGGAGGAGGAGGAGGCGGGCUGCUCCCUUGGCCUUGAGGGGAGGGCGGGGUCCCCCGCUCCCCCGGCUUCAGGCAUUGUCUGUCCUCCGCCUCCCUCCCGGGGCCUGGAGUGUCAAGGGGCCUGGCUCGGGGGCGACUGCAGAGGCGGCUGUGGACGUUCUGGGAGUUCAGGACUCCAGGUGAAGGUGAGAACUUGGCGCUGCCGCUUUCUGGCCGCCCGGAUUGGGCCGAAGUACCGACGACGUGGCGUCAUCCAAGGGGGUUUGAUUGGAGCUGCGGGCGCCGAGUGU